AUCCAGGUUAUUGCUGAGCGUCUUUCAGAAGAAGAGAUUGUUGGGUUAAGAGAAAUGUUCAAGGCAAUUGACACCCAAAACAGAGGCAUGGUUACAUCUGGUGAGCUUAAAUGACUCAGAAGAUACAGCUCAGUGUUCAAGGAUACUGAAUUUUGCGACCUAAUGGAUGCAAUUCCUAAGUGGGCCAAGAUAUCAGGGAGCUGAUGCCGGAUGGUGUGGACUCCAUUUGCUCCAUAAAAGCACAACAUGUUCUUCUUUGCAGCGUCAUACUAAUAUUAAAUAUUGUCCCAUGUUUGUUAUUCAAGUCUGCGUGAACUACUCAUAAUAGUUGCCAUAUACAACUUAAUGAGAUAUGGCGUAACAAAGACAACUGUUAUUAGGUAAUGGACAUAUUUAUUGGUACCUUCCUGCACAGCAAGGCAACAUGACCUAUAAUGGAGGUUGUUUCUUCUCUGAACGAGGGGAGGGAAUGCAAAUCAGCAACCACUUGAUCUUUCCGAUCUUUGUUUCCACUUUUUAAUGUUGUCAGGUGGUAUAUGGUGAGGCAUUGUUAUUUAUCUCUAUUUCAAUCAUCCAGGCCUUCUGCCGCACUUAUUUUAAUGGGCUUAUAUAGAGUUAUGUAUCGACUAUCCGUCUUCUAAAACUGAAUUGCUAGCUGUGAGUUUUCAGUUAUGGGCUUGCAUAGUUUUCAGUUAGAGUCCCAAAGCAUUUGCUGCCAAAAAUAAGGAUGAUUUCAUACAUCCCCUAUGGAGUGACAGCAAAAUAAAUGUGGCUUUUACUAUCCUGACGAUUCAUCCCAAACUGACGUUUCGCUGGCUGGAUUGGGCGCUCCCCGCAGCCGCUCGGGUUCCGCUACCAUAGAGCAGGUUCCACAAAUUUUCUAGCUGUCAAGAUGGACAGGCCAGGGCAAAUAAAUUCAACACACAACAAGCACAUCGUGGCCAAUUCCUCAUUGGAAGGGUUAGCCUCCUAGAUGCCAUCAAAUUUGUCUGUUUGGGCCAAACCUGUCGUUAUGGUUGUCUUGCUGUUCCACAUGAAGCCACUAAGCACCAGUGUAUGUAUAAUGACGAUUCCUCCCUCAUCGUAACCAAAACUGCACUCUCAAACUUUGAGGCAGCACUGGACUAUAGGAAUGUCCCAGAUCUAGCAGUCAUGCUUUCUUUCCCUAUUGUUGGUGGUGUGGAUAAUGCAGCUCUUGUUGCAUGGACUACAACUCCCUGGACAUUUCCGAGCAACCUAGCAUUGUGUGUCAAUGCCAAUCUUGUGUAUGCCAAGGCCUUCAAAUAUACGACUAAUAUUGAACUCUCCAGCUAGGUUGAUGAACACGUCAUCGGAGCUACAAUAGAUUCCCUUGCUGUCUAGCAAGCUGAAAGCUGUGACAAAACAACAUAAGAAAACGGAAAAGCUUUUAAGUGUAGAGAUUAUUAAAGGUAGGAGGUCUAUAUCCCCUUCCCUAGGUUCCUGUCUUGUAGCUCAAGAUCUAUGUUUUUCAUAAUGAUACCAGAUGUCUAGGUACUGUUAGACAGUCUCUCAUAAUCUAGGAUAUGAACUUCACUAUUUAUUUCUACAUCUUUAUAUUGAUAAUAACAAUGAUUAUUUUCUACUAGGUGUUCAAAGCAUUUACACUGUAUUGGCAUAUGUGUCAGUGUGCAGGGCAUUUCUAGUAUGUACAUACCUAGUAGA